GAUGAACGCUGGCGGCGUGCCUAAUACAUGCAAGUCGAGCGAACAGACGAGGAGCUUGCUCCUCUGACGUUUGCGGCGGACGGGUGAGUAACACGUGGAUAACCUACCUAUAAGACUGGGAUAACUUCGGGAAACCGGAGCUAAUACCGUAUAAUAUAUUGAACCGCAUGGUUCAAUAGUGAAAGACGGUUUUGCUGUCACUUAUAGAUGGAUCCGCGCCGCAUUAGCUAGUUGGUAAGGUAACGGCUUACCAAGGCAACGAUGCGUAGCCGACCUGAGAGGGUGAUCGGCCACACUGGAACUGAGACACGGUCCAGACUCCUACGGGAGGCAGCAGUAGGGAAUCUUCCGCAAUGGGCGAAAGCCUGACGGAGCAACGCCGCGUGAGUGAUGAAGGUCUUCGAAUCGUAAAACUCUGUUAUUAGGGAAGAACAAAUGUGUAAGUAACUAUGCACGUCUUGACGGUACCUAAUCAGAAAGCCACGGCUAACUACGUG
rnacentral:rRNA from 1 species